rnacentral:rRNA from 1 species
AUUGAACGCUGGCGGCCGGCCUAACACAUGCAAGUCGAGCGAGCGGCGGACGGGUGAGUUAUGCCUGGGAAUUGCCCAGUCGAGGGGGGUAACAGUUGGAAACGACUGCUAAUACCGAAUACGAUUGGAUUGCCCAGGUGGGAUUAGCUAGUUGGUGAGGUAAUGGGUCACCAAGGCGACGAUCCCUAGCUGGUCUGAGAGGAGGAUCAGCCACACUGGAACGGAGACACGGUCCAGACGCCUACGGGAGGCAGCAGAGGGGAAUAGUGCACAACGGGGGAAACCCUUAUGCAGCCAGGCCGCGUGUGUGAAGAAGGCCUGCGGGGUGGAAAGCACUUUCAGCGAGGAGGCGUUACUCGCAGAAGAAGCACCGGCUAACUCCGUGCCAGCAGCCGCGGUAAUAC